CCUAUCAUGCAGUUCGAGCGAACUGAUUAGAAGCUUGCUUCUAUGACGUUAGCGGCGGACGGGUGAGUAACACGUGGGCAACCUGCCUGUAAGACUGGGAUAACUUCGGGAAACCGAAGCUAAUACCGGAUAGGAUCUUCUCCUUCAUGGGAGAUGACUGAAAGAUGGUUUCGGCUAUCACUUACAGAUGGGCCCGCGGUGCAUUAGCCAGUUGGUGAGGUAACGGCUCACCAAGGCAACGAUGCAUAGCCGACCUGAGAGGGUGAUCGGCCACACUGGGACUGAGACACGGCCCAGACUCCUACGGGAGGCAGCAGUAGGGAAUCUUCCGCAAUGGACGAAAGUCUGACGGAGCAACGCCGCGUGAGUGAUGAAGGCUUUCGGGUCGUAAAACUCUGUUGUUAGGGAAGAACAAGUACAAGAGUAACUGCUUGUACCUUGACGGUACCUAACCAGAAAGCCACGGCUAACUACGUGCCAGCAGCCGCGGUAAUACGUAGGUGGCAAGCGUUAUCCGGAAUUAUUGGGCGUAAAGCGCGCGCAGGCGGUUUCUUAAGUCUGAUGUGAAAGCCCACGGCUCAACCGUGGAGGGUCAUUGGAAACUGGGGAACUUGAGUGCAGAAGAGAAAAGCGGAAUUCCACGUGUAGCGGUGAAAUGCGUAGAGAUGUGGAGGAACACCAGUGGCGAAGGCGGCUUUUUGGUCUGUAACUGACGCUGAGGCGCGAAAGCGUGGGGAGCAAACAGGAUUAGAUACCCUGGUAGUCCACGCCGUAAACGAUGAGUGCUAAGUGUUAGAGGGUUUCCGCCCUUUAGUGCUGCAGCUAACGCAUUAAGCACUCCGCCUGGGGAGUACGGUCGCAAGACUGAAAACUCAAAGGAAUUGACGGGGGCCCGCACAAGCGGUGGAGCAUGUGGUUUAAUUCGAACCACCCCGAAAAACCUUACCAGGUCUUGACAUCCUCUGACAACUCUAAAGAUA
rnacentral:rRNA from 1 species